AACGAACGCUGGCGGCAUGCCUAACACAUGCAAGUCGAACGAAGUCUUCGGACUUAGUGGCGCACGGGUGCGUAACGCGUGGGAAUCUGCCCUUGGGUGCGGAAUAACUUCUCGAAAGGGAUGCUAAUACCGCAUAAUGUCGUAAGACCAAAGAUUUAUCGCCCAAGGAUGAGCCCGCGUAAGAUUAGCUAGUUGGUGGGGUAAAAGCCUACCAAGGCGACGAUCUUUAGCUGGUCUGAGAGGAUGAUCAGCCACACUGGGACUGAGACACGGCCCAGACUCCUACGGGAGGCAGCAGUGGGGAAUAUUGGGCAAUGGAGGAAACUCUGACCCAGCCAUGCCGCGUGCAGGAUGACGGCCCUCUGGGUUGUAAACUGCUUUAUACGGGAAGAAAAGCACUACGUGUAGUGUACUGACGGUACCGUAAGAAUAAGGAUCGGCUAACUACCGUGCCAGCAGCCGCGGUAAU
rnacentral:rRNA from 1 species